ACAGGGACAUGUGCACUUCUGGUGGAGCUGUGAACUGUUCCAGACAUUCUGGAAAGCAAUUUGGAACCAUUCCCAGAAAGUUACUAAAAUGUGUGUUUUAUACCUGAAACCCACGUUUAUCACUGCUGGGACUCUUUCUCAAAGAAAUCAAAGAAAGAAGAAAACGUUCAAGUUCAAAACAUAUUCAUAGCAGCUCUUUUCGUUGUAACCAAAAUUUAGAAACCAAGCAGCUUUCCUCCUAUUUCGUGAAUAAAUGAUAGGAAUUUAAUGGAAUAUUAUUGUGCCCAAAGCAAUGAUGAAAUGGAGAGGUUCAAAGAAAACUGAAGAGAUCUCUAUGAACUAAAGUAGAGCUAAGUAAAACAUAGGAGAGUAAUUUAUAAAUGACCAUGUUACAGAGGAAAACAACUUUGAAAGCUGAUCUCUCUGGUCAAUGCAAUGAUAAACCAAGAGUCCAGAAGACUGAAAAUGAAAUACACUACUUGCUUCCUGCCAAAGCUCCAAGAAGCUGUACCAUGCACUGUGGCCACACCCCACUGAAAAAGACGGGCUAAACCAGAUUGAAGAGGCUAAAAAUCAUGAAAAAAGGAAAGAAGGAAAAGGGAAUCGAUGAAACGUUUUAAAUGCAAGGAAGAGAACAUGGAAAUUAAGAAACACACGAGCAGAGCAGCCUUGGAACUAACAUGCUGAUUUUACUAUACGUUAUAAUUUUUUUAAAAAAAGCAACCUGUACUUAAUAGAUUUGAUUUUCCAUACACAGUUAUGUAUGUAAUUGUUUGUAUUUCUUGAUAUUUGUCAAGUUUGGAAUUAUAAAAAAUUAAAAUCCAAAACAUUUAUAUGCAUGCAAAUAAUGUGAAAAUGAUCACGGUGAAACCUCUGAACAGACAGAAUGAUGUAAGACAAACAAAAAUGCUGGGAUGCAAAAUAAAGGAAUAAACAGGGGUUAUUCUGGCAAGAUUCUUUUUUUUCCCUUCAUCUGACGGGUUGGAUCCCUCGGUGACUCACAGCAGUUUUAUGCUGUGAGCUGAAGUUGUGCAGACUGCAAGAACCUCAGGGCUGGCUGUCAAAAGGUGAUGGGUCCAAGACAGGGAGGAGGUUCAGCGGGUGAGGCCGAAGGCAGAGCAGAGACAGAAGGAAGGCUGGCUGGGGAGUUGGGGACUUGAGGGUGGCCAGGGGGAGCGUGAAGGCAGAUGCAUAUGGGGAUGCCUCCGGCCGCCACGUCACCUCCUUCCUUCAUCUACGGGCACCCCCGCAGGAAAGGGGAGGCUGGAAACGGAGGAGGCUGGCCGCACUUUGCUUUCCCAGGCAUCUAAGAAAGGCAGGGCUGCGCCUGGGCUCCGUUUCCGAUCUGACUCUCCCCUCUUGGAGGGGGGCAGAGGCUGAUCUGAAGUUUUCUGUUCUUUAAAGUUGGUUGAUUGCUGCUUUAAUUAGCACGUUAACACCCGUUCAUGACAAGUAUGAUGGAUCGGCCGCGUCCCCUCUGCUUAGAGCUCGAGUGCUGCGGUAGCAGAGGUCCACAUCAUGGACAGGAGAUGGGGCCAGGGAAUGAGGUCAGCCCGUCCCUCGCAAACGCGGAGAGUGACUUCAGCAGCAGGUCUUUCUAAAGUCCUUUUCAGCUGGACUCAGGGCUGCUGAGACAUUGCUGCCCCAGCCAGGGCAAGAGAGAGGGAGAGAAGAGGGGAGGGGAGGGGAGGAGAAGGGAGGAGGGAAAGGGCUGCAGGGACCUGUUAAAAAUCUACUCAGGAUUUGUAUUGAUGUGGAAAAAAACAGCAACCCAAAUAUGCCCUGCCAGGUAUACCAAUGAAACACGGAAUAGAAAAAGAAGACAUUUUUUAAGGCACAUGCAAUAUCACAUCAAUAAAAUGUAUUAUAAAAACACCCCAAGAAGUCUUUGUAACUUGGGAGGAAUAAAAACAAACCAAAAACUCAUACAGGGUGUCCCAAAAGUCUUA